GUUGAACGCUGGCGGCAUGCCUUACACAUGCAAGUCGAACGGCAGCACGGGAGCAAUCCUGGUGGCGAGUGGCGAACGGGUGAGUAAUAUAUCGGAACGUGCCCAGUAGUGGGGGAUAACUGCUCGAAAGAGCGGCUAAUACCGCAUACGACCUGAGGGUGAAAGGGGGGGAUCGCAAGACCUCUCGCUAUUGGAGCGGCCGAUAUCAGAUUAGCUAGUUGGUGGGGUAAAGGCCUACCAAGGCAACGAUCUGUAGUUGGUCUGAGAGGACGACCAUCCACACUGGGACUGAGACACGGCCCAGACUCCUACGGGAGGCAGCAGUGGGGAAUUUUGGACAAUGGGCGCAAGCCUGAUCCAGCAAUGCCGCGUGCAGGAAGAAGGCCUUCGGGUUGUAAACUGCUUUUGUCAGGGAAGAAAUCCUCUAGGUAAAUACCCUUGGGGGGAUGACGGUACCUGAAGAAUAAGCACCGGCUAACUACGUGCCAGCCGCCGCAGUAAUAC
rnacentral:rRNA from 1 species